AGUACUUUUUUUAGCUUCAUAUUAUGGAAAAUACGAACUCAUUUUACUACGUAAAGUAUUUUACUAAGUAGUGUACAACUUUCAAGAAGCGCGGGAAGGGAACGCGACAUGGAUGAGCGAAAGAUUAUUGUCUUCUUCCUCCUCGUCUCUUUCAAUUUGCGGUCGCAGGGGCACGCGGAUUGUCCUUGUGCGUAGGAGAUCUCACGUCUCCUCCAAGGACGAUUGGAUGAAUUGAAAUCGUCCAUUUCCCUCUUCCAUUUUUGGAAUGGUCUCAGAGCUUCAGAAAAGGUGUCUACUCCGAAAGGGUGAAAGAUUUUGAAAUUCAAAAUUCAUAGUUCAAGAGUGAUUCGGAUUUCAUCUUCCCUCGCAUUUUUCCCUAAACCGGAAUUCUUUCCCCUAUAUAUUAGAUUUUUCUGUUCACUGAAUGGGGGACGGAAGAGAAAUAUUGGAGAGUAGUUGGAUAAAGGUAAAAGUUCUAGUUUUGGCAAGAGCCUAUAGAAAAGAGAUAAGAAUUGUUGAGUUACACCAUUCGUAUAAGGAAACAACCAAAUAUAUACUUUCUUCCCAUAAGCGGCAAGUUACAGUUAGCCGUCGAAUCGUCCCAAGCUCGCCCAGUCCAGUUUCGUUGCACCUCGAAAGCUAAUGCCCAUUUAGCUUCAAGCAUAUUUAUUUCAUCGUGUUGCUUGUUUCAUUUUCGAUUACAUGAAGUCGUCUAUCGGUUAUUAUUUUGAGAAUAUUUAGGCUUGACGUCGGCUUCGGUUUGAGUUGGAUCGUCUUCAAUUCCGGAGUCUCUACAAAUUUAUCAAUUGACUGAUGGCAUAAUGAAUCUUAGUUUAUAUACUCAGUUUGAAUGAAUACUAUGUUUGUGUUUUCUUUCCGUUGGAUGUGUCUUCGUGGAUGGCAAUGUAUACAUAGUGAGAUUCAAAUUAAGAAAAUAUAUAUCUAAAGUAUGGUUCCUACAUUUACAUCUGGACAGCAAGCUCAUGUAUUGUGUUUUAGUAGUAACUUAGCAUGGUUGGACCUUUAACAUA